rnacentral:rRNA from 1 species
ACGGAAGGCAGCAGUAGGGAAUAUUGUACAAUGGGGGAAACCCUGAUGCAGCAACGCCACGUGUGGGAAGAAGCAUUUCGGUGUGUAAACCACUGUCGUGAAGGAAUAAGGCUUAUUUUCGGAUAAGUUGAACGUACUUUGAAAGGAAGCACCGGCAAACUUCGUGCCAGCAGCCGCGGUAAUACGAGGGGUGCAAGCGUUGUUCGGAAUCACUGGGCGUAAAGGGAGCGCAGGCGGAGAUGCAAGCAGUCUGUACAAUACCGGGGCCCAACCCCGGACCCGCAGACUGGACUGUUUCUCUUGGAUAGCUCAGGGGCUGGCGGAAUUCCUGGUGUAGCGGUGGAAUGCGUAGAGAUCAGGAAGAACACCGAUGGCGAAGGCAGCCAGCUGGGGGCUUAUCGACGCUCAUGCUCGAAAGUGCGGGUAGCAAACAGGAUUAGAUACCCUGGUA